AGUACAGGGAACGUAACCUGGAGGUAGGGCGUUUGAUGAAUACUUUACAGUGCACUGAAAAAGAGAAAAAAGUAAGAAAAGAAAAAUGAACAUAUUCAGAGAACGCUCGCCUAAGUAAACGUUUUGUCAACGAAAAAAAGGUGCGCUGGGACGUUGGCGGAGCGCGCGGCACGUGCCUCUGUCAUUCGCCUGGUGGAAUCGAGAAGCGGUACACUGGAGCGCUUCACGAUUCCACAAGGCUAUAAAUGGGGAAUAUGUCAAGGCAUACCCAGGUUGUUUUAAUGGUAAUGCUGAUGUUAUUGGCGAUGUUGGUGCCUUCAACAUCUUCGAAGGCGUCUAGAGCAGGUGCAGUGGAAGCUCGGAGCGGUGCACGAUGGAUAGCAGUGCUAUCUUCGACGCAUAGUCGGGUCUGGAGUUCACGAGCUUGUCGAGGUGUCUGACGCCAAGCGCUAUGCAAUUUUCCGUUUGCGGACAAGAAGCGCGGAUCCGAAGGGACCCAGUGAUACGGAUCCACCGUAGAUCUGUGGAAGAAAGCACGUGCGAGCGCUGCAUCCGGAAUAGUCGGGCGCGUCUUGACUUUAUGGACCUUGCUGGGAAUGACGGGGAUCAUCGCACAUCGUACGCGCCAAGUGCUUGGCCAAACGAGACCGCACAGGUCGCUCUACACACCGAUGCACCUGUACUGCCAUGCCGUUGCUUGUAGGGAGCGCUUGCUUUCGCCUCGCGCCUAGUGCGUGAAGUUGCACGACAACUCAUCGCAUCGCUCGAUCGGCAGUUUUGCGGAAGCGUCCGCGCUGCUGGACUUGCCGCAGCCGAUAACGCUGCAUGCUUGUAUUGCCUCGGUGGAGUUUGCGCAGCCGUUUGGGCAGCGUCUCAAUAGGCCGGAAUGGCUGAAUGUACUUGAUCGAAGCGUAGGCGUUCAGUUCGCGUUCGUCCAUGUCAAGCAUCUCCUCUGGUGAGACACCGAAUGAGCGCGGUUCCACUCGUCGGUACCGGAAACGAGUAUUUGCCAGCAAGUCCUCGCGGUUAAACUGGUCGACGUCACUGUCGUUAUCGAACGGGGUAGCAAUCUCGCUUGGGUGACCGUUCAUUCGAUGCGAACCCGUGACCCGAUCGCUACGCGCUGCAGAGCUGUCAGCGGGUCCAGAAGCGCUCUUUCCGAUGCCGAAGUCGGCGUCCGGUUGCCAGCCCUCAUCUGGAGCGCUCUGGUAUGCCUCUCGUUCGAAGAGGUCGCGCAUUGCAGUAUCAAACUUGGUGGCGUCGAAAUCAUGGUCGCUCUCCGCAAGCGCUAGAACCCGCUCCACAAGCUCCAUUUCGGAGGAGGCUCGUCCGCCGGAUGACGCUGCCUUUGCCGACUGCUCCAGACCAGCAGCGCGAGCAAUGCGUUGUAAGCGCUCUGUGCGUUCCGCUAAAUGCACAUUUCGCAAGCGACGAAGCGUCUCCAGCUGUUUGCGCUUCAUGAGGUCUUCACGCGCCGCCUUGGCCUCACGCUGUCGUCUCCGCGCUUCUUGCUUUGCCGAUGGCUUGCGCAGUGAGCCCUCAAUUCGACGCGGGUGCGAGGGAAUGAGAUCCCCAUGCGGCUCCUCGAAACGGAAAUUGUGUGCUUGCUCGAACUGAUCCUGCCUUUCGAGGAACUGCUCGUCCUCUUCUAGAGUGUCAGACGUUUGUGGAUUGCGGAGAUUUUCGACAGAUGCAACGCGCUGCAGCAGAUCAUGAGCAGGCCCGAGCCAUCGAUUGUUCACGACAUAGUCGUACAGAAAGGCAUCCUUCUCGGCUACGGUCUCUUUCUCUAAGUACGCAUGCUGUCGUUCUUCAUCCGACUGAGGUGUAGCAUCCACACGCCGAGCGUCAGUGGUGGUUCCCGGUGCCAGUGCAGACACACCAGAGACAUGGGUCUGUAGGAUUUCCUCCAACCGACGGUCGGUUUGUUUCACUAUGAAAAAGUCUUCACUGCUCUCUUCAUUCAAUUCUUCGCUGACAGAGCGCUCAUGAUAAUUCGCUACACCAUCCGGCUUCAUGGUUUCUCUUGCAGCCCGCUCCAAGAAUUCCAGUCGAAGAGCCUCCUGCUGCUCAUCGUAGACCGGUAUGCGAGGACGGCGUUCCACAGUCUCCAUGUCCGGGGUUACAGUUCGGUCUCUCUGGCCAACUUGCGAGGAAUUCGACGACAGCUGCGACGAUGACAUGGACGAGGAGGAAUCCGCCUCUGCCUCCCGCAGAAGCCCCUCACGCCAGUACUGAUCUAGACACACGGCCUUCUCCUUUUCCGCUUUUAGCGCCAGAAGGUCGUAUCCAGCGACCGGCUCUGCCUCGUCAUUCGUUGUGGUUCCUGGACUAGAUUCAGAUCGACCACUAAUACUGCCCGAGUCAUCAUAGAAACGAUAAUUUGGAUCGUAGAUGCGGGCAUCGCGCCUUCUGAUUAGCUCGAGCGUCUGCGCCCACUGCGCGUCCAGUCGUUUGGUGAGCAGCAGGCCCAGGUCAUCCUCCUCGGUGCUUUCAUCGGCAUCACUGGAUGAGGAAUGCAAGGAGCUGGCACCCGAUGGAGAAGGUGCCUGGUUGCGUGCUCGUGCUGGCCGCUGGUCAACGUCUCUUCGUUCGUUCAGCUGUCGUUCGACUUCUCGAAGGUUGCUAAGCUCCUCUCGCCGUUUACGCUUGUCGUACUCUCGCGCAAACUUUUGAUUUAUCUGCAGCUCCAUAAUAGAGUGCACUCUAUUGCGUUCACUCGGGUCGUCAACUCGGGAAACGGCGGCGGGAACGCGUCCUUGUGGCCUUCAAAUAGAGAUGGUGUUGCGGCUCGUCCCUGUUACCUGAUUUCGCGAGUGCAACUUGUUGUUCCCUGUUCGGGCGGGUUUCGCCUUCGAAAGAUAACAGGUCCAGUUGACGCGGCUCAGUUGAAAUUAGUGGUAUAAGUACUCGAAGCACGGCACAGAGUCGAACGCUGCUGCCGGCAGUGUACAGUAGUGGCGAGAAGCCCGCCCUAGACACAAAGUCACCGAGUGACGUGCAGGCGCCUGCCAGACUUUUUCGACCGGCCACCCACAACUGCUUCCAACUUUUUCUCAUAUAGUAAAACUUUCAGAA
rnacentral:misc_RNA from 1 species